rnacentral:misc_RNA from 1 species
GAUGAAGAACGCAGCGAAAUGCGAUAAGUAAUGUGAAUUGCAGAAUUCAGUGAAUCAUCGAAUCUUUGAACGCACCUUGCGCUCUUUGGUAUUCCAAGGAGCAUGCCUGUUUGAGUGUCAUGAAAUUCUCAACCUUUCUGGCUUUUACAAGUUGGUUAGGCUUGGAUUGUGGAAGGUUGCUGGCUUUUUAUAAAAGUCAGCUCUUCUAAAAUGCAUUAGCAAAGAUUGUUGUGUCUAUCCUUGAUAUGAUAAUUAUCUGUAUCAUUGAAGACUCAAACCUCUUGUAUUGGAGGGAUCUUGCUUCAAAUGGUCUCUGUUGAGACAAUACUUGACAAUUUUGACCUCAAAUCAGGUAGGACUACCCGCUGAACUUAAGCAUAUCAAUAAGCGGAGGA